GUAAAUUUGGCAGAUGAAAUGUAACAGAUUUAGGAUCUGUCCAUAAAAGUUAAAACUUUUAAUUUACA
rnacentral:tRNA from 1 species